GACGAACGCUGGCGGCGUGCCUAAUACAUGCAAGUCGAGCGAAGUUUUUCUGGUGCUUGCACCGGAAAAACUUAGCGGCGAACGGGUGAGUAACACGUAAAGAACCUGCCUCAUAGACUGGGACAACUAUUGGAAACGAUAGCUAAUACCGGAUAACAGCAUUAACUGCAUGGUUGAUGUUUAAAAGUUGGUUUUGCUAACACUAUGAGAUGUCUUUGCGGUGCAUUAGCUAGUUGGUGGGGUAAAGGCCUACCAAGGCGACGAUGCAUAGCCGACCUGAGAGGGUGAUCGGCCACACUGGGACUGAGACACGGCCCAGACUCCUACGGGAGGCAGCAGUAGGGAAUCUUCCGCAAUGGGCGAAAGCCUGACGGAGCAACGCCGCGUGAGUGAAGAAGGAUUUCGGUUCGUAAAGCUCUGUUGUUAGGGAAGAAUGAUUGUGUAGUAACUAUACACAGUAGAGACGGUACCUAACCAGAAAGCCACGGCUAACUACGUG
rnacentral:rRNA from 1 species